GUCGGGAUUGCAGGAGGUGCAGGGCGUCACGGGGGGCCGGGUGGUCUCCGUGUUGUCGUGGAUGUGUUCUGGAAGGACGCCGCGCUGCUGGAGGAGAACUCUGGGAGCGGAGGAGCGGAUGUCCACGUGUGGCUUGGCCGACUCUGGAUCAGGCACGCAGUCUGGAUGGAUGGAAAUGAAGUCUGCUGCCUGCUCUCUGUCCAGCGUGAAGCAGCACACCCCCACGGACGGCCCCACCGCCACCACGAUGUCGCCGUACCGACAACCAAAAUUCGUCACCAUGGCGUCCACGGUUGCCGUGGCCACGCCCAUCAAGGUCCCUCUCCAACCUGGGAAUUGACGUCGAGUCACAUGAUCAACAACGGGAUGUUGCCACUGGCUCAAACUAAGAAGAAGACGACGACGACAGGAAGAAGUUGGAACAGCAAGUUUCUUAAUGGUGGGGAAAAAAAAGAUUUUGUACAGUGAUGUCAAUGUCUGAUACUAAAGAGAUAGUGUUACGUAAAACUGAA